GGGCGAUUAGCUCAGUUGGCUAGAGCGCUUGCUCGACAAGCAAGAGGUCGGUGGUUCGAGUCCACUAUCGCCCACCA
rnacentral:tRNA from 1 species